AUCAAAGCCCUCCUCUUGUUCCUUCUCUCUGUUUCACGUGAACUCAAACCUCAUCCCCCACACUGCCGUUUUCUGUCCUCCCUUCACGACCGUCGCUAGCCAACCGCCGGACCUACAUCAACCGUCGUCGCCGAAUCCUCCGCGAACUUGCUGCCGCCGAGCAUCCUGCCGCCGUCAGCGCAACCCUGACUGCCGGCCACCGCACGCCACCACCAACGUGUGCCGCCGGCCUUACUUGCAGCCACCUUUGCGACCACCUGCUGCCGCGACUCAGCCGCCGGCCGCCCAAACUCUCCCUCUUUUCUUGGCGGAGAAUUCUCUGUAGGCGACUUUGAAUUAUUAAAGUGGUCUUGCAGUUUGUUACACAAGUCUCUAAGGAUCAAUAAGCGUUGCCCAUUUACAGGUUUGAAGAUGAUGCAUCAUUGGGAUCGGGAUUAGAGAGCUUGUAGCUAUAUUUGUUUUAUUAAGUGAUUUGGUUUGUUAACUUGGGUUUGAAAUUGUCGUACUAUUCGUAUUUCCUUAUUGUUUUGGACUUAAUAUGUAAUCGAAUAUUUAUAAACCUAAAGUUAGUUUUAUGUUUUCCGCUGCAAAAUUCGGAAUAAGUCGUUACGUUUUCACA